rnacentral:lncRNA from 1 species
AUGAAGUCAUGGAAGAAGAGGCCUGUUCCACGCACAGAGCGCCUCUUGAGCAAGGCUGGCAAAAGCAUGGACCAGAAAUUGUUGUUCCUUCAACACAGUAAUCCAACUAAAUUCACCAGUACAGAGACAUUCAGAAAGAAUGAUCCUGUGGAAAUGAGCAGCAGCAUAAUUGAUCUGCUGAAAUGACAGCUGCUUGAAGGUGUGAAAACAAUUGCAAAUUAUCUUGAAGGCAAGUAAUUCUCUACUUGAUACUCAUUGUAUGUUCAUCUUUUUGAGCGAGGUUUUGUUUCACAGUGAGAUGGCCAACUUCAUAAUCUCUUCACCCUAAUACUCAGAGAAUGUAAAGAGAUUUCUUC